AUACGUAGGUGGCGAGCGUUGUCCGGAAUUAUUGGGCGUAAAGGGCGCGUAGGCGGGAUAGUCAGUCUGUUGUAAAAGUUCGGGGCUCAACCCCGUGAAGCAAUGGAAACUGGGCGCCUUGGAUGCGGUCGAGGCCGGCGGAAUGCGUGGUGUAGCGGUGAAAUGCUUAGAUAUCACGCAGAACGCCAAUUGCGAAGGCAGCUGGCCGGGCCGCAAUCGACGCUGAGGCACGAAAGCGUGGGGAUC
rnacentral:rRNA from 1 species